GGAAGCAGAGGUGGAGGGAUGGGAACAACAUCCAUGGCUGUUACUUCCUGGCUAUUGGCACUUCUAGGCAGUUUUCCAUGAAAAGCUUGAGCCUCUGUGGGAUCCACGUGGAGGUGAAGUUGAUCCGAGCUAUGAAGCAAGGAGUCCACAAGACCUCAAAUGCUAAUGUUUGGAAUACGAGGCUGAGCAGGCUUAAGGUGACGUUGACGCCUUUUUCCUGCAACUUCCUCUUGAGGCUUUUCCAGGGCUGCCAUCGGUCAACUGUUUCCGCUUCUCAUGGGUACAUACUGUAGGAGCAGCUUGUACUGAGCAAAACACACACACACUUGCGCACACACAUACAUACAUCAAUACUAACUUCUGAAUAUCAGUAAACAAGGGCAUAAAGAUUCUAUGCAACAUGCAACAUAAUUAUUUACAUUUCAAGACAAAUUUGGAAUAGACGUCAGAAUAGGUCAGAGUUUAUUACAUGCCAUAGAAUAUGGGCAAUGCCUGAAUUAGUGUUGGUACAUCUGGCCUGUUUCCUCUAAUUACAUUAAUACAAACUAAUGUAAACCGGAUAACCUGAAAGGAAAUGAGAAGAGCAAUUUCUUGGCCCUGUACAGGACCAGCAGUUUCGCAAAACACAGAGAACUGCAAAAAAGGGCACUAAAAAGGGAUGGGCCAAUGUGAUUUAUUCUUAUGGAAGAGAAUGUGAAAGGCAGGAUGGCUUUUCAUCAGCAAAUGAGGGACAACAUGGGUGGACUUGAGUCAAAUAUGUUGCAACUGCUGCUGGCAUAACACCUGAAAUCUUGAGACUUUACAUUAGAUUAGUUCUUAGCAUUUUCUAUUUGUCUAAGAAAACUAAGCCUUUACUUAACAAUUAUGCAUGUACUGUAUUUAAUAUAUAAUUAUAAGGUGUGGAAGAUUAACGUUCACACCUCUGUGGUAAUGAAAUUAUACUAAUUUAAUGUUCAGACACACUCAUGAAAAAAAAAACAUUUGGGUGACACAAAAACUAAAGAUUUUUCUUAUGAUUAUGGAAAAAUGUCCAGCAAUGUACUGUGUAUGUGAUACUAGAAAUGAUACUAGAAUUUUUUCAUAAUAGGUUUGACAAUGCAUGAAAUAUGCACACACACACACACACACACACACACACACACACACACACACACACACACACACACACAAACACACACACACUCACAAUAGGGAAUGACCUUUUAAUCCUAUUGACUCCACUGCAGGUAUCCUGUCCUGUAUGGCUUUCUGGACGUCACAGCUCAAAAACAGAUCCAAAUGAGAAAUGGCAAAACCGAGAUUAGUGGGAGUUUCCACCUGGAAAACAAGGAAACUCUGAACUACAAUAACAAUCCUUCAAUAAUGAACACAUCACAUUAUAUUACAAAUAUAUUAGUGUGAACAUGCAUGGGUUUGUGAUUUAAGGAGAAAUGUGAAACAUCUGUUUGUUAUUGAUUUAUGUAUGAGCUCAUUUAAAUAUCAGGUCAUCUUUUUGACUAACCCAGAGCAAAUUUUUAUUAACUGUUAUUUAGUCAUCAUGUUUCUUUAAGGCCACAUUUUGUAAUAGUACUGUAACUGUAAGGAUCCUAUAACUGUAACUUAAUGUUCCUAAUAAAGUGCUAAGUGAGAGUACAUAACAAUAUUUCUACACCUUGAAUCAUAAAAUGGCCGAUCACCUGGAGAUACAUUACAGUUAACGGUGGACCUUCAUUCGUUUG